AAUAACAGUUAAUGCACACCUAAUGUAAUUAAUUAAUAUAAAGUCAUCCAAUAUUUUUUUGAAGCAAACAUUGUCAUCCAAUAUUUUUUUAUCGUUAUAGUUAUUUUGUCUUUCCUAUAUCAUGAAAGGUUAUUUUUCUUUUUUUCUCAAAAAAAAAAUAAAGUUAGAGUGUAAAAGCAUGACAAGACAAAACUUGAGAUCCCAAAUUAACCUCUUAUCAUUUACAGAACACUAAUAAAUUUAAUUAUAAAUAAAAUAUCUAAAUACAAAGAUAUCUUGGAUGGACUAGGAAAAUUAGAUGAAGAGAAAAAGAGUGUACGAUGUAAUAAAAAAAAAAGAGUGUACACGUUCCCAAAUUUUUCCUCAUGUUUUCUUUCUUUUUGCUUAAUCCAAUGGUUGAUAUAUGAAGGAAAAAAGAUAAUCAACCAUUGAAUUAAGGAAAAAGAGAGAAAACAUGAAGAAAAAUUGGAGAGGAUCCAAAUCCUACUUUUAUAACACAAUAACUAGUAACAAGAUCAAAGUAAAAAAAAAAGCCAUCAUCUAAAUCCCUAAAAAAUCCGAUAAAACAAAGUUAAUUUAAAAUUCAUAAUUAGCUAGUUUAUCUACGCAUGUAUUAUCUUCCUUAUAAAAUUUGAGAGACUCUAAACGAUGAAUCAAGGAUGAGUCACUAAAAGCUUUAACCACAUGUAGAGUAUCAUAACACAUUGAUAAUAUUUAUCAUGAAAAGGGUAUAAUAAUGGAAAAUUAAUUAAAAAAACAAAUCUUAUGAUUAGUAAGUAUUUUAUGUUACCUCUUUACCAAUUUUUUUAAAACGAAUAAACACAACAUAUUGAUGUUCUUAAUAGACGUACACUCAACAAUCGUUCUUAUUUUAGAAAGUGUCUUUUACGACUACAUAAGAGGUAAAAAUUAUUUAAUUAAUAUAUGGAAAAGAUGAGAUUUAUAAAUUACAAAGUGAUAAAAUAUUUGUUACAAGUAAAAGGGGAAUUAUGGCUGAAAUUGUCAAGUUUAUUUGUGUUAUAAUGAUAUUUUUUUUCCUAUUUUUUGUUGCAACGAACAUCGAAGCAACAUUUAUAAGAUGUUAUAGAGAUGCUUGUUGUCCAACAAAUUUGUGCUUACCUCGUAUGAAACCAAGGUGCAUGUACAACUCCAUAUGUAAAUGUGUUCAAAAGACGUACUCGGAAAUUAAUAUGCCCACAUGAUUUUGUUUUAGUUUUAGACUCAAGAGAGCAUGCAAACAUUCAGCUAUAUAGAAUAUUUCAUGAGUUGUUCUUGCUUAUUGAGUUGACACCCAAUAAUUUGAUUUUGUUUUUCUUUCUCAUUUCAAGAAUUGUGUAGUUAUGGUUUCCUAAUCAUGUAAAUAAAUCGUUAUUGAUGUACCAAAAAAUAAAAAAAUAAAUAAAUAAAUCGUUAUUGGUGUGGACCGGGUAUA